rnacentral:lncRNA from 10 species
CACUAAGCUAUGACUUGGAGACAAAGGCCAAGUCAAGCCCCACUGUGAGAUUCAAUGAUUCCUUGGUGGAGAAAGAAGCAUUUGAUGUGGAGCCUGACACACCUGAAUGGAUGAACUAAUAAAUGAUUAAGAAUGGAGGCUACAGCUGUACACAGAUCAGAAUUGUAAAAAAUGAGCUUCGUGCUUGCUAGAGUGGACUAGAUGAGAUAUAUCUUAUUGUUAUUUGGAAGG